UUUUUUCUUUCCCCUAGAUAUAAGGAAUUGAAUUAACCUCAAAGCCAGAAAUGAAAAUCAAGAGCUUACGUUUUAGUUUGUUCUGCCACCAACAAGUGACGUGGCCUUAGUAACCACUUCAUUCCUCUGUGCCUUUCUCCAGAACAGUUUGGAUCAACUCAACAAUAUUCAAAGUGGGCUUUGCAAAGAGCAUCUUGUGGACAAAGUACAAGGGGAAGGAGCCAGACCCUCCCUAUGGCCAUGCUUUCUCUGAAACAGCCCUGAUGACGUACUUUUUCAUGCUGAGGUCUGAGUGUAUUUCUUUUGAUCUCGCUACUGGAUCUUACUUGUUACAUAUGUUGGCAAGAGCAAUAAUGUCAUCUGGAACCUGUGAAGUGUUUGUGCUAGUGACUUUGUAUCAAAAGGAACCAACACAAUUGAAUUAAGGUUAAAAAUUCCCUUUUCCUCACGUUAUUUUCUUGAAGUAAUAAAGUAGUCUUGGUUUGGAGCUUGCUAUUAUAUGUACCCAACAAAUAUUUGCUGUCCCGGAAUAUUGAAGAUGUUAAUGCACUAAUUAUAUCUUUCAUUUUCCCUAUUUAUAAAAUAGGAAAAUAUUACCUAUACUAUUAGCAGUAUAUUACCUAUACUGUUACUUAUAUUAUGUUACUAAAAUAUUGUCUACUAUUAUUAGAAAAAUGUUAAUUACCUGACACAAAGGCAGUCAAUAAACUGUGAUUAUGAAAGAAUCUAACAGUAGAGAAAAAAGGUAUAUUUUUGUUUUUAUUGUUGGAAGCCUGUUCCCAUCUGCUAUCCAAUCAUUACGUGCUAGGCACUUUAAUCAGUGUGCUUCAGGCUGCCCUGCCUGCCCAAGUGCAUGACUAUUUAAAAUGGAGACAUCUGUCAGGUGCAGUGGCUCACGCCUGUAAUCCCAGCACUUUGGGAGGCCAAGGCGGGUGGAUCACCUAAGGUCAGGAGUUCAAGACCAGCCUGACCAACAUGGUGAAACCCCAUUUCUACUAAAAACACAAAAAUUAGCCAGGCAUGGUCGCGUGGGCCUGUAAUGUCAGCUACUUAGG
rnacentral:lncRNA from 10 species